GCAAGUCGAGGGGUAGGGCAGCAAUGCUUGAGACGAGCGCACGGGUGCGUAACGCGUAUGCAAUCUACCUUUUGCAGAGGGAUAGCCCAGAGAAAUUUGGAUUAAUACCUCAUAGUAUAAUGAAUUCGCAUGGAUUUAUUAUUAAAGUAACAACGGCAAAAGAUGAGCAUGCGUCCCAUUAGCUAGAUGGUAAGGUAACGGCUUACCAUGGCGACGAUGGGUAGGGGUCAUGAGAGGGAGAUCCCCCACACUGGUACUGAGACACGGACCAGACUCCUACGGGAGGCAGCAGUGAGGAAUAUUGGACAAUGGGCGCAAGCCUGAUCCAGCCAUGCCGCGUGCAGGAUGACGGUCCUAUGGAUUGUAAACUGCUUUUGUACAGGAAGAAACCCUCGGACGUGUCCGAGAUUGACGGUACUGUAAGAAUAAGGAUCGGCUAAUUCCGUGCCAGCAGCCGCGGUAAUACGGAGGAUCCAAGCGUUAUCCGGAAUCAUUGGGUUUAAAGGGUCCGUAGGCGGUUUAGUAAGUCAGUGGUGAAAGCCCAUCGCUCAACGGUGGAACGGCCAUUGAUACUGCUAGACUUGAAUUAUAAGGAAGUAACUAGAAUAUGUAGUGCAGCGGUGAAAUGCUUAGAUAUUACAUGGAAUACCAAUUGCGAAGGCAGGUUACUACUUAUGGAUUGACGCUGAUGGACGAAAGCGUGGGUAGCGAACAGGAUUAGAUACCCUGGUAGUCCACGCCGUAAACGAUGGAUACUAGCUGUUGGGAGUAAUCUCAGUGGCUAAGCGAAA
rnacentral:rRNA from 1 species